CGCAAAACGUCGAGCAGUCUUGAAUGCCAGACCGGGCGGGCAGACAGACAAGCAAGAAGCAGCGCGAAACUUUCAGCAAUUGAAUGAUGAUGAUGAUAAUUGAGCAGCCUCAAUCUCAGCUACUAAAAUCAUGAAAAAUGUGGUUUUCUUGAAAUUGUUGCACGUAGAAUUGAUCUAGCUCUGUCAGUUCAUGUCUAGGACUGUCUAUUGGUGGUCGAUCGGUACCUUUGCAAUUGAUCUCAUGCUGCAAUUACAAGAGUAACAUUCUAUAAUUACCAAUUACUUAAGAUUAAUUUAGUCUUUUUUAUUCAAAGUCACAUAAAUUUUGCAAUUGCUAUAUUAAAUACAAUGAAGUCAUGUUUGGUACUAUUUAAUUAACCAAUUAAGUAAGCACAAGUGUCAAAUCUGAAUUAUUCUCGAAUGACUUAAAUUCUUUUCAUACUUGAUUAUCAAGUCAAACACUUCAAUGAUUAACUGCUUUGAUGUAUUCAUAAGCAGCUUUUAUCUGCAUG